rnacentral:rRNA from 1 species
CCUACGGGGGGCUGCAGUGGGGAAUAUUGCACAAUGGGCGCAAGCCUGAUGCAGCCAUGCCGCGUGUGUGAAGAAGGCCUUCGGGUUGUAAAGCACUUUCAGCGGGGAGGAAGGCGGUGAGGUUAAUAACCUCAUCGAUUGACGUUACCCGCAGAAGAAGCACCGGCUAACUCCGUGCCAGCAGCCGCGGUAAUACGGAGGGUGCAAGCGUUAAUCAGAAUUACUGGGCGUAAAGCGCACGCAGGCGGUCUGUCAAGUCGGAUGUGAAAUCCCCGGGCUCAACCUGGGAACUGCAUUCGAAACUGGCGGGCUAGAGUCUUGUAGAGGGGGGUAGAAUUCCAGGUGUAGCGGUGAAAUGCGUAGAGAUCUGGAGGAAUACCGGUGGCGAAGGCGGCCCCCUGGACAAAGACUGACGCUCAGGUGCGAAAGCGUGGGGAGCAAACAGGAUUAGAUACCCGAGUAGUC